UUCGGGAUAAGCUACCAAGUAGCUUGUCGUUUACUUCUUCUUUUUCUUCUUGUCCGAGUAGUCGGCAGAUAACUCUGUUUAGAGCUAAUAUACCGCCACCUAUUGGCUAGGAGUUGGAUCAGCGGUUUAAGAUUAUAUUCUUUUGUUAACUGGGAAAAUGUACCUACCGUGGCUAUCAUUCAGUUAUAAUUAACUCUAAAGGUCUGAUCAAAGGUUUAAUUUUUAAGAGAUAUAUUAGUUUCAGGAAGGAGAUCUUAAGAAUUCAGAUUAGUGACAGUAUUGGGCUGUACUCACCACAGGGGUGUAAUACACGCAAAGGACUAACCAUGCUGAUACCAGUCAUCGUCUGUCUCUUAUAUUGAUCAUUUAUGAUUCUGUUUACAGUCAUUUGCUCCUCUGCGUCUGCCCUGUUGACACUGUUUUUGGUUGGGUUGUUUUUUUUGUUGUUUGUUUUGUUUUGUUUUUUGCAUCUUUAGUGUCAUUUUGUGUAUCUUUGUGUUAUACUUUCUUUUGUUUUGGGGGUUUUGUCUCUCAUUUGGUGUUUUUAUAUCUCAUUUUGUGCCACACUUUGGGCUUAGUGAAUUUCUCUUGUAAUCAUUUUGCAUCUCUUAAUCUUUCUCAAAUUGGUUAGAUCACAUCUUAUUCUGGGAUUUACAAUUGUAGUCUGAAGUUCACACACAUCAUGGACAUGAGUAAUUUGGGGAUUUUAAUGAUUUCUUUGAAGUGUUCUUUUUCCAGGGUAUACAUCUAUUAUGUACUUUACAAAAGCUUACAGGAGCUGGAUUUUCUCUAAUCCACAAAGAGUCAAAAGUAAACAUACAGGCUCUAAAUACAUACACCAGCACUAAUAUUUGGUUAAAUGUCCUCUGGCAAGUUCCUCAACCAGAAACUUUUGGUAGCUAAUAACCAGUUUUCUGACAUAAUUCUAGUUGGAUAAGUGACCACUCUUCUUGGCAAAACUUAAGUUGGCUGGUUUCUUGGUAUAGACCUGGCUUUUAAGCAUUGUCCACAAUUUACAACACAACUUAGUAGGGUUGGGACCAGGGCUUUGGGAAGGGUAUUUCAGAAUUGAGUGUUAAGUUGUUAAGAUGUGUACACACUGGAAGCAAUUGUCUCAACAUGCAUUACUUUCAGUUCACUAUUGUGCCUGAAGG
ensembl:lncRNA